GCAGCUGGAGCAGGAGAAGCUGGGGAGACGCCUGGAGCGUGGCCGUCCCUGCCCGGAUCUCCCAGUGGAGCCCGAGCUGAAAUUUUUUAUUUCUAAAUGGUAUCAGCUGUGGUUUCAGAUCUUCAUUGCUUCCAGCCGUCCCACUGCCAAGAUGGAAUAACAGGGACCAGCAUUACCCUCCCACCUGAAACUAAACCACUAUACAAAACAAACAGUUCUAAAUGCAAAGACAUAGAUGACGAAGGGCAGUGACCCUAGGGAGAAAGGAAACAAUUUGAGUCCUACGACCGUCCCAGCAGACCGCCAAGAGAAUGUUCUCAGGAUGCCGAGCAGGAAGGGGAACCCAGCCAGAGUCCAGUGGUCUCCCCGAGUUAAACAGAUGGAGCUGGGAGCCCAGCGAGGCCAGCGUGACUGGAGUUCACGGGGUAGAGUACUGGAGAGAACCGAGAGAACCCUGGACUCUGCUGUAGAGGGCGAUUAAGGUAGCAUGCAUGAAGUCCACCUUCAGCUAUGCCGGAGAUGUGCAACAAGGCCGCCAGGGCUGAUACAACAAUAGCUUAAGUUAC